ACCAUCACGUGCUGAUCCAUUGUGAGCUUUUUUAACUCAAUCUUUUGUGAGUUUUUUACAAUCCUUACAUGUAUCUUACAUAUCUAAAUAACUCGCAGCGCUACACCAACUAGAGCCAUCAGUUGUGCUUCUACACCAAGCCCUGUGACAAGAAGGUAGACCUGUAAUUUGAAUUUGAAUAUUCGUCUUUCUUCUCAAAUCUGCAAUUUCACAUCUUUCUAUCUUCGUGCAGCAUGUCAAGGAGGUUGUUGGAACUAGAGCCAUCUACACCAACUAGAGCAAUCGCUACAGUUUCUACACCGAGCCCUAUGACAAGGAGCCGCAAAAGGAUACUAGAACUUGAAGACAUCAUAGAGCCAGUUGCUUCUCAAACCACAUCUCCAGUUGCUAUUGAGAAGGGAAAGGCAAAAAAAUUGAAGGUUGUCAGGUCCAGGAAAAAUUA